rnacentral:rRNA from 1 species
UACGGAGGGAGCUAGCGUUGUUCGGAAUUACUGGGCGUAAAGCGCACGUAGGCGGCUUUGUAAGUUAGAGGUGAAAGCCCGGGGCUCAACCCCGGAAUUGCCUUUAAGACUGCAUCGCUUGAAUCCGGGAGAGGUGAGUGGAGUUCCGAGUGUAGAGGUGAAAUUCGUAGAUAUUCGGAAGAACACCAGUGGCGAAGGCGGCUCACUGGACCGGUAUUGACGCUGAGGUGCGAAAGCGUGGGGAGCAAACAGG